rnacentral:tRNA from 1 species
GGAGGGUUCGCAUAAUGGCAUUGCACCGCUCUUGAAAAGCGGCGGGAGAAAUCCCUUAGAGGUUCGAGUCCUCUACCCUCCG